GGAUUCCUCGACGCAGAUAACGCAUUAAUAUCCCCGCCUGGGGAGUACGGCCGCAAGGCUAAAAUUCAAAGGAAUUGACGGGGACCCGCACAAGCGGCGGAGCAUGCGGAUUAAUUCGAUGCAACGCGAAGAACCUUACCAAGGCUUGACAUACACGAGAACGCUGCAGAAAUGUAGAACUCUUUGGACACUCGUGAACAGGUGGUGCAUGGUUGUCGUCAGCUCGUGUCGUGAGAUGUUGGGUUAAGUCCCGCAACGAGCGCAACCCUCGUUCUAUGUUGCCAGCACGUAAUGGUGGGAACUCAUGGGAUACUGCCGGGGUCAACUCGGAGGAAGGUGGGGAUGACGUCAAAUCAUCAUGCCCCUUAUGUCUUGGGCUUCACGCAUGCUACAAUGGCCGGUACAAAGGGCUGCAAUACCGCGAGGUGGAGCGAAUCCCAAAAAGCCGGUCCCAGUUCGGAUUGAGGUCUGCAACUCGAC
rnacentral:rRNA from 1 species